GACGAACGCUGGCGGCGUGCCUAACACAUGCAAGUUGAGCGACGAACCAGGGCUUGCCCUGGGGCAAAGCAGCGAACGGGUGAGUAACACGUGGGUAACCUGCCCCGAUGACCGGGACAACCCGAGGAAACUCGGGCUAAUACCGGAUGUGCUCGCCGGACAUCGGUCCGGCGCGUAAAGGAAGCUUCGGCCUCCGCAUUGGGAGGGGCCCGCGGCCCAUUAGCUAGUUGGUGAGGUAACGGCUCACCAAGGCCGCGAUGGGUAGCUGGUCUGAGAGGACGAUCAGCCACACUGGGACUGAGACACGGCCCAGACUCCUACGGGAGGCAGCAGUGGGGAAUCUUGCGCAAUGCGCGAAAGCGUGACGCAGCAACGCCGCGUGGGGGAAGAAGGCCUUCGGGUUGUAAACCCCUUUCAGGAGGGACGAAGGUUCGGCAGUGAAUAGCUGUCCGGACUGACGGUACCUCCACAAGAAGCCCCGGCUAACUACGUGCCAGCAGCCGCGAGUAAAC
rnacentral:rRNA from 1 species